UCGAAGAAGAAGAAGAAACAACACCAACGUGAUGAGGAUUAUGCACAUGAAUUGGCAACAAGUCCACAUCUUCUCGCACUUCUCUCUCUUCAUCUUUGAAUGGAAUCUUUUCCAUUUUAAUCCCUCUUAACCGACUUCCCCUUGUAUCUCGAGCAGAGCCCACCACGUCCACAACCACGUCAUGAGUGGGUGAAGAAGAAUUCAUGAAGAAGAGACGGAGAAAAAAGAGAAAGAGAAAAAACUUCACAACUUUCACAACUUCUUUUUCUUCAAAUCAGAGGAAAAGAUCAGAAAGGAAAAUCACAAAAUCCUUUCUUCUCU
rnacentral:ribozyme from 13 species